GCAGUGGUGGUUCACUGGUAGAAGAAUUCCCACCUUCUGUGUGGGAGACCCGGGUUCAAUUCCUGGCCAAAGCA
rnacentral:tRNA from 1 species